AGUGAACGCUGGCGGUAGGCCUAACACAUGCAAGUCGAACGGCAGCACAGUAAGAGCUUGCUCUUACGGGUGGCGAGUGGCGGACGGGUGAGGAAUACAUCGGAAUCUACUUUUUCGUGGGGGAUAACGUAGGGAAACUUACGCUAAUACCGCAUACGACCUACGGGUGAAAGCAGGGGAUCUUCGGACCUUACGCGAUUGAAUGAGCCGAUGUCGGAUUAGCUAGUUGGCGGGGUAAAGGCCCACCAAGGCGACGAUCCGUAGCUGGUCUGAGAGGAUGAUCAGCCACACUGGAACUGAGACACGGUCCAGACUCCUACGGGAGGCAGCAGUGGGGAAUAUUGGACAAAGGGCGCAAGCCUGAUCCAGCCAUACCGCGUGGGUGAAGAAGGCCUUCGGGUUGUAAAGCCCUUUUGUUGGGAAAGAAAAGCAGCAGGUUAAUACCCCGCUGUUCUGACGGUACCCAAAGAAUAAGCACCGGCUAACUUCGUG
rnacentral:rRNA from 1 species